AUGGGUCUCGACUCCAAAUGGGGCGGGCUCGGUUGGAUACAUACGGCGACCCUCCACGUUUUGGCUAGUCUAUGGAACGUGGACUGCCAAAUAUUCCCGUUUCCCCUCUUCCCGCCGAUGCAGGGGGACAUGUUUGGGGGCUUUGGUGGCGGCGGCGGGUUUGGGGGAGGAGCAGGAGGGUUCGGAGGUGGUUUUGGAGGGGGUGGAGGGUUCGGCGGCGGCGGGAAUAUUCUCCCGUUCCCCCUUUUUCCGAUGCCAUUUGACAUGGGAGGAUUUGGACAGCCAGGCGUCAUAAUCACCAACAUCACUAUUCCUGGAGGACCGGCGGGUCCUGGAGGAUCAGGACCUGGAUCGUCACCUCGGCCGACCGGCGGCGGGACUGCCCCAGGCGGCUCGACGCCUUCAGGAGGAGGGAGCUCGCGGCCUCCAUCGGGCCCUAGCUCAUCGCCGAGACCCUCGGGACCUCCAGGAGGCGGAGGAACAGGAGGCGGAUCAGGUCAAUCAGGUCGGCCAGGAGGUCCGGGGGCAGGCGGGCCUCCCGGAGGAGCAGGCGGCCCCGGGGGAGGUGGUUCCCCGGAGGUUCGGGAGCUCCAGGCGGGGCGCGACCCCCUGGAGCAGGGGGGCCUGGGGCUCCAGGAGGAGGCAGCUCACCCCGACCUCCAUCAGCCCCGGGUGGGGCAGGCGGGGGAUCCUCCCCAAGACCCGGAGGUGCACCAGGAGGAGCCGGCGGACCCGGAGGUGGUGGACCUGGCGGUCCUGGCGGGAGACCCGGUAGUGCACCAGGAGGAGCAGGGGGGCCUGGAGGUGGUGGACCAGGUGGACCAGGUGGGGGUUCGUCCCCAAGACCCGGUGGUGCACCCGGAGGAGGUGGACCAGGCGGGGCAGGUGGGGGCUCGUCCCCAAGACCCGGUGGCGCUCCGGGUGGAGGUGCACCAGGGGGAGGUUCAGCACCAGGGGGAGGGGCUAGACCAACUGGCGCCGGUGGACCUGGUGGUCCUGGGGGUGCAGGGGGUGCAGGUGGACCUGGAGGAGCAGGUGGAGGUUCUGGUGGACCUGGAGGUUCUGGAGGUGCCGGUGGACCUGGAGGUCCGGGCGGUGGUGGACCUGGUGGUGGAGGAGGAGGUUCAUCGCCAAGACCGAUGCCAGGGUCGAGUCCCCGACCUCCAAGUGGACCUGGCACAUCUCCUCGACCUUCUGGACCCCCUGGACCACAACCAACAAGACCCCCCACCACCGCCACCGUAUACUACAUCUAUCCUCAAUGGUGUAAUGUAUGGUGCCGUCUGUACUAUAAACCAAAACCGGUGUACUACACGCCAUCUUGUCUACUUUAUGGCUGGAUGGGCUAUGGUGGCGGUUUUGGCUGGUAGAAGUUUCUUUUAUGGGUAUCGUCAUCAUCGGCUGAACAGUUGGACUCCAACGCUUUACAUUAUUACAUAAGUUCCUUACUUUCUAAUCCCUCUGUUGCUAGAAACUAGUUGCUAAAUGAAAAUAUUCUGUAAUUAUCAUUCUGUUUAGUAAAACAUAGAAUCAAUUGAAGGUAUUUUGAAAAAAUAGAGAGAAAAUAGCUAGAAUGCCAAUAACAAUAGGUACCCACAUCGCAUUUUCUCGUACAUGAACUAGCUCUGUGAAAUCGGAACUAACUAGCUUUGUAGGUGUGAGAUACAUACCUAUUAUUUACUUUUGUUUUGUUAUGCAGACUUCUUAGAAGAAGAGUUUCUAACUUGAAUAUCUGCCUAUAAGAUGCUUAUGACAAAAUGACGACGCAAUAAGUGCCAUAUUUUUAGUCGGAUCUCAUGAGGGCAAAACAUUUUACCGAAAAAGCAUUGCAACUUGCAUUUAUAUGGCAUUUGAACUUUUGAAUGGUUCUUACUCUCAGGAUCAAUUUGAAUUAUUUCAUCACUUGCAGUUUUAAAUACUAGAAUGAAUAUGUCCGAUAAUGCACCAUGUAUGCAUACAAAAGUUAAAAUUUUAAGGAAUGUCACUUGCAUCAAAAAACUCGGAUACAGACAUUAACGGUCAAUUACGCCUUAAAGGCAUCGAGACCAACAAUGUGUACUACCAUGAUCAGUUUAAUCUUGAUUGUUUCUCCUUGUUCACUUCACUCUUUAGGCUUUUUUGGAUAGGUUUUUAUUAUCUUUUUUAUGAAAUGUUGCCCAGUAUUUAUGUCAAACAUUUGUUUUUAUUUUUAGGUAAUUUAUUUUCAAUGAAUUGUUGUUCAUCAUACUGUUCAUUACUAUUUAUUAUAGAUUAAAUUAAUUUAUUUAUACUUCAAUAAUUGCAAACAAACAUUUACUCUUAUUUGCAACGUGUUCCUCUAAAUGUAACUAGUCUCCCAUAGCCUCAUACUCAAAUAAAGAGGUAGUGGUUAUUGUAUUCCUAAAUGAAUCAGUGAGAACGAAAACACACCAACUCGAAAAAAUGAAAAUAAUAAAGACACACAUAAAACUGCACAGUAGGUGAAGAAAUUAGUCGAAGAAAAAGAUUUUUGGUGACGAAAGACAGGUACUUAGGCAUGGGCGCUUAAAGGGUCAAAGUUGAAACAGAUGCGCUAACUUCAAUUACCUGUAUGAAAAUGAACUGCCUCUGAUGAAAAAUGAGCGUUUUCGAGUUAUCGAGUGUUUUGCGUUUUCACUGAUUCAAUUUUGAUUCUUAAAAAAUCUUGAAGAGUCAGAUAAACUUAGCGGAGCAGUAAUAACCUACAUAUAUUCGCUAUGCCUGCCUGCAGACCUGCUGCAAACUUGUUUUUCCACAAAAAUAGUAAGACAGAGGUAAGUACGGUCCGCUUACUGCAAAGAUCUUUUGCCACAAUUUUUGUAAUGAAAUAGUUAGCUUGAGGCAAGAAUUAAUGAUAAUUUGAACAUCCAUGUACAUUUUCUGUGGCCAACGAAGAAUUACCUAGUUUUACAACUUAAAUGAAUGCUGCAAAGUACGCUCUCAGCCUUAAAAAUAGGGCACUGUUUUUAAGAUCUUCAGGACCUCUGGGAUAGACCUAGCAUCUUGUAUUUCAUCGAUGUAUACCUAAGCGAUAAAAAAUUACUAACUCUCACUCUUCUCUGAAAUAUGAAGAGAACGUCAUUUUAAAUUCUGGAGUUGUCACCUCGUAAUUAUUUGUGUCCUUUUAUGCAGGGCCGGAUUUACUUACUUGCCGCCCAUGGGCCGCCUAUAUUUUGCCGCCCCCUUCUCAUUCGUUUUGAAACAUCAGUAAAAACCAUCAAGUGAACGUGUCGGAGGG
rnacentral:lncRNA from 1 species